CCUACGGGAGGCUGCAGUGGGGAAUAUUGCGCAAUGGGCGAAAGCCUGACGCAGCAACGCCGCGUGAGGGAUGAAGGUCUUCGGAUCGUAAACCUCUGUCAGCAGGGAAGAACGGUCACUGUGCUAAUCAGCAGUGAAUUGCCGGUACCUACAAAGCAAGCACCGGCUACUCCGUGCCAGCAGCCGCGGUAAUACGGAGGGUGCGAGCGUUAAUCGGAAUUACUGGGCGUAAAGCGCUCGUAGGCGGGAUGUCAAGUCAAGUGUGAAAUCCCCGCGCUCAACGUGGGAACUGCAUUUGAAACUGGCAAUCUGGAGUGUGGGAGAGGAAAGUGGAAUUCCAGGUGUAGGAGUGAAAUCCGUAGAUAUCUGGAGGAACACCAGUGGCGAAGGCGACUAUCUGGAACAUAACUGACGCUGAGGAGCGAAAGCGUGGGGAGCAAACAGGAUUAGAUACCCCAGUAGUC
rnacentral:rRNA from 1 species